UGGGGAAUAUUGGGCAAUGGGCGAAAGCCUGACCCAGCAACGCCGCGUGAGGGAAGAAGGGUUUCGGCUCGUAAACCUCUGUCCUAUGGGGACGAAGGAAGUGACGGUACCAUAGGAGGAAGCCCCGGCUAACUACGUGCCAGCAGCCGCGGUAAUACGUAGGGGGCGAGCGUUGUCCGGAAUGAUUGGGCGUAAAGGGCGCGUAGGCGGCCUGUUAAGUCUGGAGUGAAAGUCCUGCUUUCAAGGUGGGAAUUGCUUUGGAUACUGAUGGGCUGGAGUGCAGGAGAGGAAAGCGGAAUUACCGGUGUAGCGGUGAAAUGCGUAGAGAUCGGUAGGAACACCAGUGGCGAAGGCGGCUUUCUGGACUGAAACUGACGCUGAGGCGCGAAAGCGUGGGGAGCAAACAGGAUUAGAUACC
rnacentral:rRNA from 1 species